AAGGAUUCCCCUAGUAACGGCGAGUGAAGAGGGAAGAGCCCAAGAUUGAAAGCUGGCGCCUUCGGCGUCCGCAUUGUAAUCUCAAGAAGUGUUUUCCGCUUCGGACCAUGCCUAAGUCCCUUGGAAAAGGGCAUCAUAGAGGGUGAUAAUCCCGUACAUGGCAUGGAGCGCCCGAAGCUUUGUGAUACGCUUUCUAAGAGUCGAGUUGUUUGGGAAUGCAGCUCAAAAUGGGUGGUAAAUGCCAUCUAAGGCUAAAUAUUGGGGAGAGACCGAUAGCGAACAAGUACAGUGAUGGAAAGAUGAAAAGAACUUUGAAAAGAGAGUUAAACAGUACGUGAAAUUGCCAAAAGGGAAGGGUAGGAGGUCAGAGAUGCGUCGCAGGAUUCAGCCUUGCUUUUGCUUGGUGUUUUUCCUGCGUUGCAGGCCAACGUCGGUUUUGGGCACUGGAGAAGGGUAGGAGGAACGUGGCACCUCUCGGGGUGUGUUAUAGCCUCCUACUGGAUACAGCGACCGAGACCGAGGAACGCAGCGUACUCGUAAGAGCGGGCCUUUUGGCACCUUUACGCUUAGGGCGUUGGCAUAAUGGCCCUCUACCACCCGUCUU
rnacentral:rRNA from 1 species